rnacentral:rRNA from 1 species
UCAGUGGCGAACGGGUGAGUAACACGUGGGCGAAUCUGCCCACGACUUUGGGUAGUAACUACUCGAAAGAGUAGCUAAUACCGAAUAUUCAGCCUUGCAGGCAUCUGCGAGGCUGGAAAGUUUCUCGGUCUGGGAUGAGCCCGCGGCCUAUCAGCUAGUUGGUGAGGUAAUGGCUCACCAAGGCGACGACGGGUAGCCGGCCUGAGAGGGCGACCGGCCACACUGGGACUGAGACACGGCCCAGACUCCUACGGGAGGCAGCAGUGGGGAAUAUUGCGCAAUGGGCGAAAGCCUGACGCAGCAACGCCGCGUGCGGGAUGAAGGCCUUCGGGUUGUAAACCGCUUUCAGCAGGGAAGAAGCGAAAGUGACGGUACCUGCAGAAGAAGCACCGGCUAACUACGUG